rnacentral:rRNA from 1 species
CCAGAGAACUUAGCAGAGAUGCUUUGGUGCCUUCGGGAACUCUGAGACAGGUGCUGCAUGGCUGUCGUCAGCUCGUGUUGUGAAAUGUUGGGUUAAGUCCCGCAACGAGCGCAACCCUUAUCCUUUGUUGCCAGCGGUUCAGCCGGGAACUCAAAGGAGACUGCCGGUGAUAAACCGGAGGAAGGUGGGGAUGACGUCAAGUCAUCAUGGCCCUUACGGCCAGGGCUACACACGUGCUACAAUGGCGCAUACAAAGAGAAGCGACCUCGCGAGAGCAAGCGGACCUCAUAAAGUGCGUCGUAGUCCGGAUUGGAGUCUGCAACUCGACUCCAUGAAGUCGGAAUCGCUAGUAAUCGUAGAUCAGAAUGCUACGGUGAAUACGUUCCCGGGCCUUGUACACACCGCCCGUCACACCAUGGGAGUGGGUUGCAAAAGAAGUAGGUAGCUUAACCUUCGGGAGGGCGCUUACCACUUUGUGAUUCAUGACUGGGGUGAAGUCGUAACAAGGUAAGCGUAGCGAG